GACGAACCGAGCGAACGUUAUUCGGAAUCACUGGGCUUAAAGGGCGCGUAGGCGGGCCGCCAAGUCAGGGGUGAAAGCCCCCAGCUCAACUGGGGAAGUGCCUUUGAUACUGGCGGUCUCGAGGGGGAUAGGGGCGUGCGGAACUUCCGGUGGAGCGGUGAAAUGCGUAGAUAUCGGAAGGAACACCGGUGGCGAAGGCGGCAUCCUGGACCGGUAUUGACGCUGAGGCGCGAAAGCCAGGGGAGCAAACGGG
rnacentral:rRNA from 1 species